AGAGUUUGAUCCUGGCUCAGGAUGAACGCUGGCGGCGUGCCUAAUACAUGCAAGUCGAACGAAGAUGUAGCAAUACGUCUUAGUGGCGAACGGGUGAGUAACGCGUUGGUGACCUGCCCCAAAGUCUGGGAUAACAGUUCGAAAGGACUGCUAAUACCGGAUGUGGUCAUCGGGAUUAGAAUCCGAUGUCUAAAGGAGUAAUUCGCUUUGGGAGGGGCCUGCGUCCCAUCAGCUAGUUGGUAGGGUAACGGCCUACCAAGGCGACGACGGGUAGGGGACCUCAGAGGGUGGCCCCCCACAAUGGAACUGAAACACGGUCCAUACACCUACGGGUGGCAGCAGUAGGGAAUAUUGCACAAUGGGCGAAAGCCUGAUGCAGCAACGCCGCGUGUGCGAAGAAGGCCUUCGGGUCGUAAAGCACUUUUCUGGGAGAUGAGAAAGGACAGUAUCCCAGGAAUAAGUCUCGGCUAACUACGUGCCAGCCGCCGCGGUAAUAC
rnacentral:rRNA from 1 species